rnacentral:rRNA from 1 species
UACGGAGGGGCUAGCGUUGUUCGGAAUUACUGGGCGUAAAGCGCACGUAGGCGGCUUUACAAGUCAGAGGUGAAAGCCCGGGGCUCAACUCCGGAACUGCCUUUGAGACUGUAUCGCUUGAACACGGGAGAGGUGAGUGGAAUUCCGAGUGUAGAGGUGAAAUGCGCAGAUAUCAGGAGGAACACCAAUAGCGAAGGCAGCUCGCUGGGACCGUUACGUGA